CUGGCAGCACAGAGUUUCACAGAGACCAAAACAAAGACAGACAUUCUGACUGGAACGCACAUUUUCAGAGUAGAGUAUCUGGCUGUAGGAUUGUUUUUCUGAGAAACAAACUCUUCCUCAUCUGGAAAGAUCCAUCAUGGUUUGGUCUGAUUCCUGUGGAUUUGGUCUCAUGUUCAGGCAGAGAUGUGUUAUAUUUCCUAAUUUUCAUCAUCAGGUUUUUGUGGUUGAAGCCAGUGACCAUACAGGUGUUUCUGAGCUUCGGCACAUUGUCCCAUUUUCUCUUGGCUGGUACAGCUGCAUCAAUAAAGGUGACCAAUCGAGACAUUUUUAAUAUUAAAGGACAAGAAGUCCUUUCCAUCAUUGCUGUACUCAUCGAUGCCUUUGAGAAACUUCACUUCAUCUCCCUGCUGGUCAACUUCACAACUGUGUCUCCGCUGAAG